rnacentral:rRNA from 1 species
UGAGGAAUAUUGGUCAAUGGACGCAAGUCUGAACCAGCCAAGUAGCGUGCAGGAUGACGGCCCUAUGGGUUGUAAACUGCUUUUAUAUGGGAAUAAAGUGAGGGACGUGUCCCUUAUUGCAUGUACCAUACGAAUAAGGACCGGCUAAUUCCGUGCCAGCAGCCGCGGUAAUACGGAAGGUCCAGGCGUUAUCCGGAUUUAUUGGGUUUAAAGGGAGCGUAGGCUGUUUGUUAAGCGUGUUGUGAAAUGUAAGAGCUCAACUUUUAGAUUGCAGCGCGAACUGGCUGACUUGAGUGCGCACAACGUAGGCGGAAUUCAUGGUGUAGCGGUGAAAUACUUAGAUAUCAUGACGAACUCCGAUUGCGAAGGCAGCUUACGGGAGCGCAACUGACGCUAAAGCUCGAAGGUGCGGGUAUCGAACAGG